GACGAACGCUGGCGGCGUGCUUAACACAUGCAAGUCGAACGGAAAGGCCCUGCUUUUGUGGGGUGCUCGAGUGGCGAACGGGUGAGUAACACGUGAGUAACCUGCCCUUGACUUUGGGAUAACUUCAGGAAACUGGGGCUAAUACCGGAUAGGAGCUCCUGCUGCAUGGUGGGGGUUGGAAAGUUUCGGCGGUUGGGGAUGGACUCGCGGAUUAUCAGCUUGUUGGUGGGGUAGUGGCUUACCAAGGCUUUGACGGGUAGCCGGCCUGGGAGGGUGACCGGCCACAUUGGGACUGAGAUACGGCCCAGACUCCUACGGGAGGAAGGAGGGGAGAAUAUUGCACAAUGGGCGGAAGCCUGAUGCAGCAACGCCGCGUGCGGGAUGACGGCCUUCGGGUUGUAAACCGCUUUCGCCUGUGGCGAAGCGUGAGUGACGGUAAUGGGUAAAGAAGCACCGGCUAACUACGU
rnacentral:rRNA from 1 species